ACCCUCGACAUACUGCACACAGGCGUAGCGGACAGAGUCAUACUGGUCUUUGGGUUCCAGCGUUCGUGCAGCCUCCCCGUCUCAUGUUCCAGUCACUCCGAUUAAUUUAGUUGCUCUGACUCUGAUUGUUAUGGAAUUGAUUCUACUGCACUGUUGACAGGUGCAACGGCAGCCACUCCUUCCUUUCUUCCUUCCUUCCUUCCUUCACUCCGAUUAAUGUAGGAAGCUUUUCAAGCCUCCGUCUUCUCGCAUUUCGACUCUCAAACGCUUUGGGGUUCUUCAACUCCCGGUUGUGUUUGUACUACCUACUAAGUUGAACCAUUGGUAUUGUGGCAACUUUAAGAACAAUUGUUCGAUUUCAUCGGCCUCAUCAAGGUAUUUCAACUUUCUAUCUAACAAGUAAUGUCAAGAACAUUGUAAUCAUUCUUUAACGCUAUCAACUUGCUUACCAGCUUUGCUUUGAUAUUAAAGCACAUCGCCAUAUGCUCUCAGUAUUUUACCCUUAUUGAAAUUGAACAAUUUGUGAAUAAUACAUAUGCAAACUAGUGUCACAUUAUAUCUAUGUCUGGCAUCACGAAUGAUAUAUACAACUUUUCUUGCAUGGUGAGAUGUUUUUUCUUUCAGAUGAUGCAGAGAAGGUGUCCAGUUCAUGUUCGAUUUGUGUUUGAGGAUAAUAUAAAAAUGGUCGCAUUCUGGCUGACGACAUGGGUUCGGGGAUGACAUUGCAGUCCAUUGCUGUACUAUACACACUUCUAUGUCAAGGAUUUGAUGGGACCUCCUACGGUUAAAAAGGCCACCAACGACUAACUGGGACACCAACGACUAACUGGGAAGCUGGAAUUAAGAAAUGGGUUUGGAGACAAACAGGACUCAACUUAUAUUCCCUCUGUGAGAUGAUGUUUUGUCUGGAAUAUAGAUAGUUUCACGCGACCACGAAGCGUUUUCAGACCAUGACUUACAGGCAGAAGCAAAGCGAGUGAAGAAAGUUGGAGUCUAAAGUACGUGAACAACAACCUAUAUAUGAAGACGGAUCAAGGAUUAUAUAUCCCCAGUUGGUUUUUGAUUUAAGUAGCUAAACUCAAUGGAGUUUUACAUUUGCGACAGUCCUUUUUUUUGGCUUACUCAUUGUAGACAAAUAUUUUAGUAUUUACGGAGCUAGUUCUGCAUGCUUGCUAGCCCGUGCCAUUGUUUCGAGAUGGAACUCCUGCAACAGUAAAUAUCAAGCCACAUCUCAGUCAGAAAAUCUUUGAAUCUUCUCCAGAUUGAAUGGUGUAAUCAUGUAGGACUGAUCAGCGUAGUUCACCUUAAACUCUGGAGGAUGCGGUAUAAGUUAUACCCAGCAUAAUGUGGUGAUUCCAACCAAGAAAAUUGGGCAGAAAGUGAACCUGGAGGUUGAUAUCAUGGGCAAAUACGUUGAGAGGCUUCUUCUCACCACUACAGCCUUCUCCAUGAACACCCCACAGAUGUCUUUUUUAUUGGUUACAGGAAAAUAAGGGAUGAAGCUCAGCUGGAAAAAAGAGAAGAUUAUUUGGGAACUGUUGGUCUAUGAGCAAUCUUGAAUCUUAUCAAGCUUAAACCAUCCAGCUUGUGGUGAUUCUUCACUCCAUCUUCCACCAACGAUUUGUCUUGAGAGAGAUACACUUCCAGCAAGCCAAAUCCCAUCUUCAAUCAAUCAUUCAUCCACUGUUCUUGCUGAGAGAGAUACACAUCCAACAGCAAGGAUCCAUCCGCCAUCUUCUAUCCCUCUUUUUGUUAUGGUAUUUUUGUGUAAGGUCAUUUUAGUACUACGGAACACUAGAAGACUUUUAAUUAGAGAUAAGAAAUCGAGGUUAGAAGAUAUGUAUUAUUGAGUUUAUGAUUUGGGACUACAAUGUUUGGUGCAUAAAACUAGUUCUAGUCGCCUAAACUCUAAUCUCUUAGCCUCUGAAAGUUGAUCCCUUGUUCUAGGGUUUGUGAUUCCCCUUUAUAUUUAUAGAUGUCGGCUUCAAGUAGGGAAAACUCUUCCAUAAUCAGAAAAGUAGGCAGAAAACUUCUAUUUUGCUUCAAGGGUCGGUUCGAUAGAAGGGGUCAGACCGAUGGCAGGGGUUGGACCCUGGUUCCUUCUCAAGCAGGGGUACGGAUGUCGAGGGCCUAUCCGGAAGCUGGAGGAAACUAGUACUUGAAUAUUUUUUCCCUACAGUUUGCCCCUUAUUCCUUGAUUUUAUAGUUGAAAUCAAGGGAUAAUUUGUGUUUCUGGACC